CCAAGGAUUGUAGAGCAACAGGUGUGUC
rnacentral:piRNA from 1 species